rnacentral:rRNA from 1 species
GGUACAGGAAGCAGCUUGCUGCUUCGCUGACGAGUGGCGGACGGGUGAGUAAUGUCUGGGAAACUGCCUGAUGGAGGGGGAUAACUACUGGAAACGGUAGCUAAUACCGCAUAACGUCGCAAGACCAAAGAGGGGGACCUUCGGGCCUCUUGCCAUCGGAUGUGCCCAGAUGGGAUUAGCUAGUAGGUGGGGUAACGGCUCACCUAGGCGACGAUCCCUAGCUGGUCUGAGAGGAUGACCAGCCACACUGGAACUGAGACACGGUCCAGACUCCUACGGGAGGCAGCAGUGGGGAAUAUUGCACAAUGGGCGCAAGCCUGAUGCAGCCAUGCCGCGUGUAUGAAGAAGGCCUUCGGGUUGUAAAGUACUUUCAGCGGGGAGGAAGGUGUUGAGGUUAAUAACCCUCAUCAAUUGACGUUACCCGCAAAAGAAGCACCGGCUAACUCCGUGCCAGCAGCCGCGGUAAUACAGAGGGUGCAAGCGUUAAUC